UGAAAAGGCUCAAAUCUUGACAACAUUUAUCUGGCAGAGCUUAUAUUGGAAAAAUGAGUUCGUCAGGUGGGACCCAGAACAGUGCGGUUCUUCAAGGAUUACACUUCCAAGGAAACUGCUCUGGGUACCUGAUAUAGUGAUCAAUGAGUUUAUGGAGAAGAACUCAGCUCCAUUUGUGCCAUACUGUUAUCUGUAUAGUGAUGGCUCGGUGAGUGAUUACCAGCCUGUAAGAGUGGUCAGCUCCUGCAGCCUCUACAUCUACAUGUUUCCAUUUGACAUCCAGAACUGUACUUUAAGCUUCAACUCCU